CGGGGUGCAGCAGGCGCGAAAACUCUACAAUGCAGGCAACUGCGAUAGGGGAACAUCGAGUGAUACUCAUCUUGGGUGUCUGUCCUCCCGUCUAAAAAACGGGAGUUAGCAAGGGCCGGGCAAGACCGGUGCCAGCCGCCGCGGUAAUACCGGCGGCUCGAGUGGUGGCCGAUAUUAUUGAGUCUAAAGGGUCCGUAGCCGGCUUUGCAAGUCUUUUGGGAAAUCCAGCGGCUUAACCGUUGGUCGUCCGGGAGAUACUACAUUGCUUGGGACUGGGAGAGGUAGGAGGUACUCAGGGGGUAGGAGUGAAAUCCUGUAAUCCUUUGGGGACCACCGGUGGCGAAGGCGUCCUACCAGAACAGGUCCGACGGUGAGGGACGAAAGCUAGGGGCACGAACCGGAUUAGAUACCCGGGUAGUCCUAGCCGUAAACGAUGCUCGCUAGGUGUCACAACAAUCGUGAAUUGUUGUGGUGCCGUAGGGAAGCCGUGAAGCGAGCCACUUGGGAAGUACGACCGCAAGGUUGAAACUUAAAGGAAUUGGC
rnacentral:rRNA from 1 species